rnacentral:rRNA from 1 species
CCUAGGGGAGGCAGCAGUGGGGAAUAUUGCACAAUGGGCGCAAGCCUGAUGCAGCCAUGCCGCGUGUAUGAAGAAGGCCUUCGGGUUGUAAAGUACUUUCAGCGGGGAGGAAGGCAUUGUGGUUAAUAACCUCAGCGAUUGACGUUACCCGCAGAAGAAGCACCGGCUAACUCCGUGCCAGCAGCCGCGGUAA